CCUACGGGAGGCAGCAGUGAGGAAUAUUGGUCAAUGGUCGGGAGACUGAACCAGCCAAGCCGCGUGAGGGAGGAAGGUACAGAGUAUCGUAAACCUCUUUUGUCAGGGAACAAAGACUGGGACGCGUCCCCGGAUGAGUGUACCUGAAGAAAAAGCACCGGCUAACUCCGUGCCAGCAGCCGCGGUAAUACGGAGGAUGCGAGCGUUAUCCGGAUUUAUGGGGUUAAAAGGGUGCGCAGGCGGUCUGUUAAGUCAGCGGUCAAAGCCCGGGGCUCACCCCCGGCCCGCCGUUGAAACUGGCAGUCUCGAGUUGGAGAGAAGUAUGCGGAAUGCGCGGUGUAGCGGUGAAAUGCAUAGAUAUCGCGCAGAACUCCGAUUGCGAAGGCAGCAUGCCGGCUCCACACUGACGCUGAGGCACGAAAGCGUGGGUAUCGAACAGGAUUAGAUACCCCAGUAGUC
rnacentral:rRNA from 1 species